rnacentral:rRNA from 1 species
AACGAACGCUGGCGGCGCGCCUAAUACAUGCAAGUCGAGCGAGAAGACGUAGCAAUACGUUUGUAAAGCGGCGAACGGGUGAGGAAUACAUGGGUAACCUACCCUCGAGUGGGGAAUAACUAGCCGAAAGGUUAGCUAAUACCGCGUACGCUCCUUGGACUUCGGUUCAGGGAGGAAAGCGAUACCGUGGGUAUCGCGCUCUUGGAUGGGCUCAUGUCCUAUCAGCUUGUUGGUGAGGAACGGCUCACCAAGGCUUCGACGGGUAGCUGGUCUGAGAGGACGAUCAGCCACACUGGCACUGCGACGCGGGCCAGACUCCUACGGGAGGCAGCAGUAAGGAAUAUUGCGCAAUGGGCGAAAGCCUGACGCAGCGACG